UACGUAGGGUGCGAGCGUUGUCCGGAAUUACUGGGCGUAAAGAGCUCGUAGGUGGUUUGUCGCGUUGUUCGUGAAAACCUGAGGCUUAACCUUGGGCGUGCGGGCGAUACGGGCAGACUGGAGUACUGCAGGGGAGACUGGAAUUCCUGGUGUAGCGGUGAAAUGCGCAGAUAUCAGGAGGAACACCAAUUGCGAAGGCAGCUCGCUGGGACGUUACUGACGCUGAGGAGCGAAAGCGUGGGGAGCAAACAGG
rnacentral:rRNA from 1 species